GCAGCGGGACAGGCGAUCGCCGGCGGCCGGGGGAACCCGGUCGCGGGAGGAAAGUCCGAGCUCCGCAGGGCAGGGUGCCGGGUAACGCCCGGUGAGAGCGAUCUCGAGGAAAGUGCCACAGAGAACAGACCGCCGCGCCGCGCGCCUCACCGGCUCGCCGCGCGGCAAGGGUGAAACGGCGGGGUAAGAGCCCACCGCGCCCUUGGCAACAAGGGCGGCACGGCAAACCCCACCUGGAGCAAGGCCGCGUAGGGAGGCGUCCGCGGCGGCGACCGCCGCCACGGCAAGGGCUGCCCGCCCCAGGCCUCCGGGUUGGCUGCUUGAGGCGCGCGGCGACGCGCGUCCUAGAGGAAUGAUCGCCAGCGCGAGGGGGGCGACCCCCCGCGCAACAGAACUCGGCUUACGUCCCCUGCGACC
rnacentral:RNase_P_RNA from 2 species